CUCUGGGUCUCCCAUGACCUGGCCGCUGGUCCACACCUUCCUCCCUCACAUUCUUAGCUACUCUGUGUCACAAUCACUGAUCUCCUGGACCCAGGCUGACUCCUAGGGAGGUGCCUCUGUAUUCCUGGCAAGAAGUGGCUGUUGCAUCUUGGAGACAACAAAAAAGGUGCAUUCUCAUCAGGUGACUGGGCAUUGAGUUGAGCUAACAUCCUGACAGCAAAUUGGUCAGUCUAUCAACCCAUUCAACUGGUACCCAAACAGGGACUUUUAUGCAUUUAUGGCCAGAUUGAAGAAGGUGACCUAGAAGGGAAUCCAUAGGAGAGGAGAGACAGCAGUGGACUUCGAGGAACUACAGGGAUGCCCAAAUGAGGGAGCCAGCAUGACAUAGAGGAACCAAGACGGACCACCAUCUAGAUGCAAUGCAGCCUCUACUUGCCCUGAUUCAGCUUCUGCAACUUCAAAAACAGAAAGGAGGAACUGCAGGAGACCAGCUUGAAAUGGCAAACCAGGUUCCAGAUCUUGUGUUCAAAAAUGCAAACAAGGAGACUUUCAAAGAUGAACGAAGUCCUGUAGAAAGCACUCAGGAGCCAGAACAAGAGCUCUUUUUGUUUUGGUACUGGAAUCAAACUCAGGGUCUUGCACUUGCCAGAAGGACCAUGUCACUGGAUAACCUGGUGCCUCCGGUUGAUGAAGAUUGUCCCCAACAGCAUAUGUGAAAGACAGAGAUCUGACUGCUGCUCUAUAAUUUCCAUUAUAUCACAGAUUGGAGGUGAGGCUGCAGUAAGAGGACUCAGCAUAUGCCACUGACUUGGCCUUGGCCUUUCAAGCCUCCCAAACAGCUCAGAGGUAGUAAAUGUGAGAGUUGGGUUUCACAACCAUCUGAAGGAGACCAAAAUCCCUUUCCAUGGGCUGACACUGUGCAGCUGCGGCACCAGACACCACAGGAGCUUGGAAGAGAAAUGUCUUCCCCUGAGGAUCUCUACGGGAUGUGGUUUUGCACCAUGGGGAAUGUUUGCCAAUAUCUGAAGGGAGAUCACACAAAAUGACUGUCAUUUUACCAACAAAUGUGAAGGUCUAGAUGAAAUUGCUGCUUUUCUAAGAAGUAUAAGUUUAAAAAAUUGAAAAAUAAAUUGAAAACCUGAAUAGACCAAUAAUCACCAAAAAAUUUAAGUGUGUUAUCAAAGAUUUACUUCUAAAAAAUGUGUACUGCCCCGGUGAGUUAACAGGUAUGUCCUUUCUAUCUGACCUUCAAAGCAUAGAGGGCUCCUAUGUUAUGUAAAUUAUUGCUGAAUAUGAAAAGAUGGAACUCUUUCCAGUUUAUUUUAGAAAACUAUCAAUUUCAUAUACCAAAUCUGAUAUAGAUAGCACAAAAAUAAAACAUACAUCAUUUUAGAAAACUAGCAUAUUUCUUAUGCCAAAUCUGAUAUAGAUAGCACAAAAAUAGAACAUAGAUGAAUUUAAUGUCUGAAUAUGGUGGUUUCUUAAGCAAUGAGACUUUCAUAGAAUUUCUGUGCCAAAUAAUCCAAAAUUUCUUACUUUUUCCUCAUAAACUCUGCAUUCCCAUGCUCAGAUGUGAAAGAAAGUUAAAGGAGCAGGAAGUGAAUUUGAAACUUACGAAAAGCCCGAGGCAGAAGUACCGGGGAAGCCAUCCUAGAGAUGUUCAACCACCGAGCAACAUCUCUGGCCCUGUAUUUUAUUCUCUUUUGAGACAGGAUCUUGCUAAGUUGCCCAGGCUGGCCUCAAACUUGUUACCUUCUUUCCUCAGCCUCUUGAGUAGCUACGAUUACAGGUUCUAAAAAGCCUUCGAAGCUAAAGUUCAUGACAAGUAUUGGAAUGUGCACUGAUGAAUCUUUAGGAAAGAGGAGAUAACAGAGACUUGAGAAUUCUCACAUGGCCACACCUAGACUGUCUUCAUGCUGCUAACAAAGGACACCACUUACUUUUAUGAAUGAGUCACCCUCGUGGGGCUUCUGCUAUCCUCUGGCCCCUUUCAUUUCUCCUUGUUAAUUUCUAGUAUCUGGAAAUAAGGUAAUAAAUUAAAAAUGGCUCAAA